CGCGUAGGCGGGCCUUCAAGUCGGAUGUGAAAACUGGCGGCUCAACUGCCAGCCUGCAUUCGAUACUGUCGGUCUUGAGUACAGGAGAGGAAAGCGGAAUUCCAGGUGUAGCGGUGAAAUGCGUAGAUAUCUGGAAGAACACCUGUAGCGAAGGCGGCUUUCUGGCCUGAUACUGACGCUCAAGCGCGAAGGCUAGGGGAGCAAACA
rnacentral:rRNA from 1 species